UCAACUCCCAUAAAGCAGGGCGAGUUAACAUUACAAACUUUUUUAUUUUUCUAUAUUUUUAUAGCCAAGACAACGGCGAAUUGUAGUUUCGAGAAGCACUUUCUCGGCGGAUCCGAGGUCGUCCAAGUUGCUUGGAACAGCACGUCGUAGAGGGUGAAAACCCCGUCUGCGGCGACCUCGGCCGUUCACGAUGUGCUUUCGACGAGUCGGGUUGUUUGGGAAUGCAGCCCAAAAUGGGUGGUAAACUCCAUCUAAAGCUAAAUAUUGGCACGAGACCGAUAGCGAACAAGUACCGUGAGGGAAAGAUGAAAAGCACUUUGAAAAGAGAGUUAAAAAGUACGUGAAACCGUUAAAAGGGAAACGAAUGGGGUUAGCAAUGCGUCGUGCGAGAUUCAGCCGGUGGGUGGGCCAGGCGGGCGGUUGGCGGAUCUGAAUGGACCGCUGCCGUUCGGGUUGGUUUCCCGACCGUCGCACUUCUCGCAGGCGCGCGCCAACGUCGGUUAGGGCUGGGUCUCAAAGGCGGU
rnacentral:ncRNA from 1 species